rnacentral:rRNA from 1 species
GGGUCAGUGGGUUGGUCGUGCCACCGGUACGUACUGGUCUCACUGAUUCCUCCUUCCUGAAGAACCGUGAUGCCAUUAAUUUGGUGUUGCGGGGAAACAGGACUGUUACUUUGAAAAAAUUAGAGUGUUUAAAGCAAGCUAACGCUUGAAUACAUUAGCAUGGAAUAAUGAAAUAGGACGAUCGAUCCUAUUUUGUUGGUUUCUAGGAUUGACGUA